CUGGCUACAGGACGACGCUGGCGGCGUGCCUAAUACAUGCAAGUGGAACGCAUGAUUGAUACCGUAGCUUGCUACACCAUUAAUCAUGAGUCGCGAACGGGUGAGUAACGCGUAGGUAACCUGCCUACUAGCGGGGGAUAACUAUUGGAAACGAUAGCUAAUACCGCAUAAGAGUUUUUUAACACAUGUUAGAAAUUUAAAAGGAGCAAAUGCUUCACUAGUAGAUGGACCUGCGUUGUAUUAGCUAGUUGGUAAGGUAACGGCCUACCAAGGCGACGAUACAUAGCCGACCUGAGAGGGUGAUCGGCCACACUGGGACUGAGACACGGCCCAGACUCCUACGGGAGGCAGCAGUAGGGAAUCUUCGGCAAUGGGGGGAACCCUGACCGAGCAACGCCGCGUGAGUGAAGAAGGUUUUCGGAUCGUAAAGCUCUGUUGUAAGAGAAGAACGUUGAGUAGAGUGGAAAGUUACUCAAGUGACGGUAUCUUACCAGAAAGGGACGGCUAACUACGUGCCAGCCGCAGC
rnacentral:rRNA from 1 species